rnacentral:sRNA from 1 species
GGUCAGCAAAGAGCUUCUGGGCCAACGUACGUGGAUUCGGUGGUUUCCGUAUUUAAAAUCCAUCGCAUCGACUCUUUAUUAUACGAGCACAGUUGUAUUAGGUCAGAAUAUUAAUAUUUCAAUCAUAAAUCAAGAAAUCCCAUUUUCGUUCAGGAAAUCAAACUCUUGGCGAGGAAUACGUUCAUUUAUUUGAAUCAAACGGUCUUGAACGAACAGUUCCAUCGAUUCCAUCACGGAUUUCUUUUGUUCUUCUUCAUUCAGCAUUUCCAUUAAUUUCAAAUUAUUUGAUUCAGGUGAUUUUCAUAGUUUCUUUUUGAAAAUAUUUGUGAAAAUAAGUUUACAGAAAGCAGAAUCAACACUUACACAUCCAUCAACUGAAUCAUUUCUUGGAAUUCCGAUUCGAAAAAAUCAAAAAGCUCGUCAAUCAUUUCUUGACGUGUUUUUCUGGUUGAGAACUAAACUUUUUCCACAACUUCAACGUGCUCAUAUUGCUCUUUUCUAUAUAACUGGAGCAUAUUAUAGCAUCGCCAGAAGAUUCACUGGAAUUCGAUUUUUAUCAGCCAGUGCUCAUUCGGAUAUUCCU